rnacentral:rRNA from 1 species
UACGUAGGGGGCAAGCGUUGUCCGGAAUCAUUGGGCGUAAAGAGCGUGUAGGCGGCCCGAUAAGUCCGCCGUGAAAGCCCAGGGCUCAACCCUGGGAUGCCGGUGGAUACUGUCGGGCUCGAAUCCGGAAGAGGUGAGUGGAAUUCCUGGUGUAGCGGUGAAAUGCGCAGAUAUCAGGAGGAACACCAAUGGCGAAGGCAGCUCACUGGCCCGGUACUGACGCUGAGGUGCGAAAGCGUGGGGAGCAAACAGG